GGUCGAUUCUCAUUCAGAUUGAACGCUGGCGGGAUGCUUUGAUACAUGCAAGUCGAACGGCAGCACGGACUCUCGGUCUGGUGGCGAGUGGCGAACGGGUGAGUAAUGUAUCGGAACGUGCCUGUGAAGCGGGGGAGCAAUCUAUUAGCGAAAGCGCAGCUAAUAUCGCUAUUGCCCUUCGGGGAAAGUGGGGACCUUCGGCCUCGUACCAUUAGAGCGGUUGAUAUCGUGGAUUAGCGAAGGCUGGUGGGGUAACGGCUCACCAUAAGGACGAUGAUCCAGCUGGUUUGAGGAGGACGUAUCUAGCCACGGGGACUGAGACAUGGCCCAGACUCCGGCCGGAGGCGGCAGUGGGACUUUGACAAUGGGGGAAACCCCAUCCAGCCAUCCCGCGUGGUGAUGAAGGCUUCUCUGCUAGAAGCACUUUUGUGGUGAGGUUGUUGCAUGAUAUACUCCCGUGCAACUGACGGUACUGUGUAAUGGUUAAUGGCUAACUACGUGCCAGCAGCCGCGGUAAUACGUAGGGUGCAAGCGUUAAUCUGGAAUUACUGGGCGUAAGGUGGCAGGCGGUUCGGAAAGAAAGAUGAACUUAUUUAACUUUGGAACUGCAUUUUUAACUAGUUUGAGCUAGUGUAAUAGAGGGAGGUGGAAUUCCGCAGCAGAAAUGUGGAUGAUGGAGGAACACUGAUGGCGGUAUGGCAGCCUCCUGGGAUAACACUGAUGCUCAUGCACGAAAAAGCGUGGAGCAACAGGAUUAGAUACUCCGGUAGUCCACGCCUCAAACGAUGUUAACCAGCUGUUGGGGCCUUUCAGGCCUUUGCAGCAGUUUAAUGCGUUGACCGCCUGUAUACGGUCGUAAGAUUAAAACUCAAAGUAAUUGAUGGUAACCGCACAAGCGGUGGAUGAUGUAUUUAAUCUGAUGAACGCGAAAACUCAUCAUCUUGACAUGUUCCGGAAUCCCGGAAGAGAUUUGGGAGUGUCGCAAAGAGAACCGGAACACAGGUGCUGCAUGGCUGUCGUCAGCUCGUGUCGUGAGAUGUUAGUUAAGUCCUGUAACGAAAGGUAAAUCCUUGCAUUAUUAGUUAUACGAAAGGGCACUACGACCGCUGGUAUAAACCGGAGGAAGGUGGAUGACGUCAAGUCCUCAUGGCCCUUAUGGUAGGGUAAUUACACGUCAUACAAUGGUCGGGACAGAAAUGCCAACCCGCGAGGGGAGCCAAUCCUAGAAACCGACUGUAGUCCGGAUCGUAGCCCGCAGCAACCUGACUGCGUGAAUGAAUCGCUAGUAAUCGCGGAUCAGCAUGUCGGCAGGAAUACGUUCCCGGUUCCGGUGCGACACCGCCUGGGCUUCAGCCUACGGAGUGGUCAACAGAAGUAGUUAGCUCAACCGUGGCAAGGGCGAUUACCGGUAGGAUUCAUGACUGGGGUGAAGUCAACAUGUAG
rnacentral:rRNA from 1 species